rnacentral:rRNA from 1 species
CCUACGGGUGGCUGCAGUAGGGAAUUUUCGGCAAUGGGCGGAACCCUGACCGAGCAACGCCGCGUGAACGAAGAAGUAUUUCGGUAUGUAAAGUUCUUUUAUUGGAGAAGAAAGAGAAAUUUGACGGUAACCAAUGAAUAAGCUCCGGCUAACUACGUGCCAGCAGCCGCGGUCAUACGUAGGGAGCGAGCGUUAUCCGGAAUUAUUGGGCGUAAGGGGUGCGUAGAUGGUAGGUAUUAGUCUUUUGUAAAAAUGCUAGGCUCAACCUAGUAGGGCAAACGAUACUGAUGAACUAGAGUACGAGAGAGGCAAGUGGAACUACAUGUGUAGCGGUAAAAUGCGUAAAUAUAAGUAAGAACACCGGUGGCGAAGGCGGCUUGCUGGGCCUGUACUGACGUUGAGGCACGAAAGCGUGGGGAGCAAACAGGAUUAGAUACCCCAGUAGUC